rnacentral:rRNA from 1 species
AUGUGUGUGCGUGUGAGUUUCCAUGGUGUGUGUUUUUGUCUUCUUGAGAGAAGAAGAGAGAAACCUCAGGAGAGUUGUGCGAGGCAGCUCGAGGAAGAAGAAGGUCGGCGCUACGAGAGGAGCGGCGCCAACAAUUGGUAUUCAGAGCCUUGUCGGUCCAAAGCGGUGGCGGCGCGGCGAACUCCAUGCGAGAUGGAGGCCGGCGGCGCAAGGAGGAGGUCGGUGGCGGCUCUUACGGUGCAAGGCCGUUAUGAGGAGGAGAUGGCACGCGGUGGUCGGCGUCAUGAAGGCGUCGUCCGCGUCAAGAGAAGGCCGCUUUCAUACGGCAUGACACCGUGGUGA